rnacentral:rRNA from 1 species
UACGGGGGGAGCAAGCGUUGUUCGGAUUUACUGGGCGUAAAGGGCGGGUAGGCGGCCACCGCAAGUCAGUUGUGAAAUCUCUGGGCUUAACCCAGAAAGGUCAACUGAUACUGCGGGGCUAGAGUGCAGAAGGGGCAACUGGAAUUCUCGGUGUAGCGGUGAAAUGCGUAGAUAUCGAGAGGAACACCUGCGGCGGAGGCGGGUUGCUGGGCUGACACUGACGCUGAACUGCGAAAGCUAGGGGAGCGAACGGG